rnacentral:rRNA from 1 species
CCUACGGGGGGCUGCAGUGAGGAAUAUUGGUCAAUGGACGAGAGUCUGAACCAGCCAAGUAGCGUGAAGGAUGACUGCCCUAUGGGUUGUAAACUUCUUUUAUAUGGGAAUAAAAUGUUCCACGUGUGGGAUUUUGUAUGUACCAUAUGAAUAAGGAUCGGCUAACUCCGUGCCAGCAGCCGCGGUAAUACGGAGGAUCCGAGCGUUAUCCGGAUUUAUUGGGUUUAAAGGGAGCGUAGGUGGAUUGUUAAGUCAGUUGUGAAAGUUUGCGGCUCAACCGUAAAAUUGCAGUUGAAACUGGCAGUCUUGAGUACAGUAGAGGUGGGCGGAAUUCGUGGUGUAGCGGUGAAAUGCUUAGAUAUCACGAAGAACUCCGAUUGCGAAGGCAGUUCACUGGACUGCAACUGACACUGAUGCUCGAAAGUGUGGGUAUCAAACAGGAUUAGAUACCCGAGUAGUC